UGGAAAGACCUCUUGUCAUGUCGAUGCGUCAAAUUCGGUGUUCUCUGACCCAUGUCACCAUGUCUAUAAGUACCUGGAAGUGACAUACUCCUGCAUAUGAGUUUAUGAAGCACGAUCUGCAUCGGUCCUUGAGGAAACAGCCUGGAGGAGCAGAAGCACAUCUUUUUCUUAGCAAAUUUCUUAGCUAAUUGUGUUCUCUUUUCUUUAAAUCUGCUUUGAAACUUUUUUUUUCAUACAAAUAAAUUGCAUUUGAAAUUACAUCUGCCUUUCCUCCUUCUGACACACUGGUGUCCUUUGAACAACCAUACGACAUUGCACAAAUUAUUACAGUAGCAUUUAUUUGAACAAAUAUUUAACUGUAUAUAAUACAGCAUAUUGUUUAAAGCAAUAUGAAAUAAGUGUUUUUAAGGAAAAUAAGUAUAAUAUGCAGAGAAUGUGAAACACUGAUACACUAUUAUACUUUCUUCUCAGUGGUAAUUUGGGAUUGAGCUUAUCAGAUGCAGCAAGCAUUUUUGUUAUUGCAUUUGUAAUCAUGCCAAAACAGUUAAUGUCCAUUGUAUCAUUAAAACAUGCAGAUAAGUAAUGAGGAAUGCUCAACACUCAAUAUAAAAGACAUCUUUUUUUUCAUUUCCCUGUUCGGAAAAUACUUUAUGACCAGUCAAAGAUAACAAAAUGACAUCUACAGAUCAAAAGGCCAAGGAUAUGGAAAUAAUUCCUACGUUUAGUAUAACAAGAGCCGAAGAUGAAGCUGAAAAAUGACUGCCUGCCGCAUUGAGACUCCCUUUAUUCCUCACUGCCAUUACCCACACACAUUUAGAUGGUCUUUUUUUUUUGAGCAGCAGCAAUACAAAAGUCUUGCUGUAGAUUUGCUUGUUCUGGUGAGCAUUUUCUCAAUCUCUUUACUUGCUUCAAAGCAGCAGCAACAUGCAGAUCGAUUCAGCUGAGACCACAAAUAUUACCCCCGCCUUGUCAUAUUACCCCAUACCACGCCAAUAUCCUAGAGUUGUCAUGAUAGAACUGUGUUGAUAUAACGCCAUAUUUUGGAAAACUCUUUGCCCAGGGAUGACCAGAGAACGUGGUCUUGAGAAGUUCUGGAAAUGUGAACGCACAAAAUCAUACUUUACCUCAACAGGAACAUGUGUCUUCGUCAGACAUCUGUUGUUCUUCUGUUCACGCAUUCAACGUGCUGGUGCUAAAGCUAAGUUGUAUCAUUUUGCUGGUCUUCCUGUGUCAGUAUGGUGAGAAUGGCAGUUUACUAAUGUGUAAUUAAAUAAAAAAAGAUCUGAAGAAAGAUCUGUGCGCCUCAGCUGUAGUGAGUAACAGUCAUUUCUAGAUUUUUGGUGUUUUGUGCCCAAAUUGCACAGUAUACAGUUCCUGUGUCUUGAAAUUUGU